ACCUUUUAAAGUGGCUGAUGUCCCUCACCCUGGACAGGUUUGGGAAACUGCUGGGUACACACUGGAUGUUGGAAAGAGAGAGAGGAUGAUGCCCAGAAUUGGCUGACCUGUGUCAGAUGGUCGUGGAAUAUCCAAUCACUGAAGAGGUGCCGGUAAAAAAAGAUUCCACACAACAAACACCUUCCUUAUCUUCCAUAGCAAACUUCCCUCCUUCCUCAGUGCUGAAAAUGGAUCUAGAGCAGACUGACUGCCCUCAGUGGAGUGACCAGAAAACAAGCUAUAUUCCAGUGGGUUGGGAAAUGCAUGGAGAUUAAGAAGAAGUGAUAGAGAAUUUAGAUUACUUUUGAAGAGAAACUAAUGUAUGAGGGCCAUGAAAGGUGUAUUAUGAUUUCUGGUGAUGACAGUGGCAGGGUAGGGGGGAUGAAAACAGAUGGAGAGUUGCUUUUGAAGAUUUGAAUGGUUUAAAUGAAUAUUUUCUUAAAUGUUGAGGGGAAGAACAAGUAGAUGGGGAGAAUGUAAUAAUAAAUGAAUUAGAAAAAACCAGGUGCUUGAGGAAAUGAAAACGUGGACUCCAGAACACAGAUGAAAGGAUUAUCACAGUCAAGAGGAAGACUACUCCCUUCAGUGAGACAGGAAGGUAAGUGGGUGCGAAGUUGAACUUGUUUGAAAUAUCCUGGCCUGUUUCUAGGUUACCUAAGAAUCUGAUUUCAGAAUUACGUAAUUCAGAACUCAGAUGAGAAUGGCAGCAUAGUUUGGAUCUGAGGUUGGAAACCACAGAAGGGAGUGGCAGACACCACAGCACAUGAAAACUGCAGGGGGACUGGAGACCUACAGACACCC